CCGCAGACUAAAAAGAAUUCUUCUGUUUUUCAUUCAAAAAUAUUUACUGGUCCAAAUGACGAUUGAAAACAUAAAAACUUUUGUGAAUCAAUAACAUAGCUCAUUGUAUGAUAGGAAGCAAGCUUGUAUGAAAGUCAGUUGGAACAAUGCUGUGUUAUUUUAUAGAGUGAAAAAGGCAGAUCUGUGUGUUUAUAGCAGCAUGGGGUAAAUCUUCCAGACACAACAAACAUUAAGGUAAUGUGUCUGCAUGUGAGAUAACAAUGUUACGCAGCCUAGGUGACAAGGAUUUUGUAUAUUUUAAAGAGGUGUUAAUGGUGGAUAAUACGAUUUCAGGGGCAUGUUAAGUAAAUGAAAGAAUAAUUAGUGAGUCGCCAAUAUGACAUUUUAAAGGCAAGCAGUUAGGGAAAACAGGACAUCAAAAGUGUCAAUGGAAAGCAAUUAACACAGGUCAGGUGUCAAUGGAAAAAGUGAAAAGAAAUCAGGUGUAUGUGGGAUAAUACUGGUCAGUGUAAUGUAGCAAGAGUUCAGAAUGUGCGGUUAAGGUGUUACUGGCACCUUAUUGGGUACAGCGUUGGUCAGUGUGUCUGGUUGAGCAAAAUAUAGUUCAUGUCACUGUGUAGUUUAUAUGGGGUACAAGUUAGCAUGCCUGAUUACUGAGUGGGAGACUGUGCAGGUCAAUAUGUACUGUGAAUGCAGAUCUGAGUGAAUGUAUAUGAAUCAGAAUGAGUAGGGUUCAGUGUGGGUCAGGGCACAUUAAGUGGGCUUCUCUUUAGUAUAAUCAGGAUAAGCAGAGUUUUUUUUUUUAUAUCAGUGUAGGGUGAAUGAGUCUCUGGGUAGGACAGUGUAGGGUGAGUGGGGUUCUGUGGGCGAGUGUGGCUGUAUGGAUGUGAAUACAGGGUGAGUGGGGCUCUGUGAUGGGGAGAGAGAGGGGUGAUAGUGAAUGCUGCAGACAGUGCAGGAUUAUUGGGGUACAUGUGGCAGUUGAUUAAUCCAGUAAACAAUGCAGGAUGAGUGGGCUCUGUGGAGGAGAGUGAAGAUAAUGUAGUGUGAGUAAGGAAUAAUGAAUAGUGAGUGGGGUACAGGUGACACAAAGUAAGGGUAAGUGGGGUCCAGGUUCAGUGAGGGUAAGUAGGGUCCAGGUUCAGUGAGGGUAAGUAGGGUCCAUGUUCAGUGAGGGUGAGUAGGGUCCAGGUUCAGUGAGGGUAAGUAGGGUCCAGGUUCAGUGAGGGUGAGUAGGGUCCAAGUUCAGUGAGGGUGAGUAGGGUCCAAGUUCAGUGAGGGUGAGUAGGGUCCAAGUUCAGUGAGGGUGAGUAGGGUCCAGGUUCAGUCAAUGAGUGCUGCAGCCAGUGAAGGUGAGUGGGAGACAGUCAGUGAGGGUGAGUGAGAGACAGUGAGUGGGAGACAGUCAGUGAGUGCUGCAGACAGUGAGGGUGAGUGGGAGACAGUCAGUGAGUGAGAGACAGUGAGGGUGAGUGAGAGACAGUGAGGGUGAGUGGGAGACAGUCAGUCAGUGAGUGGGAGACAGUCAGUCAGUGAGUGGGAGACAGUCAGUGAGUGAGUGAGAGACAGUCAGUGAGAGAGUGAGAGACAGUCAGUGAGUGUCCUCCAUUAGUGAAUGGGAUGGAUCUCCAGUCGGUGUGUGCUCGGGAAGCCGCUGUCUCUCGGUCGGUCGGUCGGGGAUGCUCGGUUUCCAGGCCCGCCGGUCGGUUGUGACUCCGGUCAGAGCUGAGUGCUGGAUCCCGGAUCCGGGGAGAGCACACCGCGCCCGGCCAUCUUAACAACCAGACGCUGCUUCCUUCACAACGGAAACCAGGGAAACAGCGGGGAGACAGCCAGGGAGAGAGGAGGAG
rnacentral:lncRNA from 1 species